rnacentral:sRNA from 1 species
AUGAAAUAUGAAUGUGAGCUUAGAGGCUACACGUGGUCUCUGGGAUACUGGAACUAUCCUUCUUGCCUUGGACCAGCUAACGUGCCUUGGUUGCGCCAGUGUACUGAGCCCUGUGGACAUUACCUCAUUAAAUAUUCAAUAAAUGUUAUUUUUUUCCUAUUGCCUUUCUCUCUUCUAUAUGAGAAUCUGUAAGUAUUCACUGAAGGCUUUUCUUUUGCUUUUGUGAAUACCUUCACACCAUGUUGUAUUCUGUCUUGGUUAGUUAAAAAAAAAAAAAAAGUUGGCCAAGUACAGUGGCUUGCACCUGUAAUCCCAGCACUUUGGGAGGCCGAGGCAGGCGGAUCUCCUGAGGUUGGGAGUUCGAGACCAACCUGACCAACAUGGAGAAACCCAUCUCUACUAAAAAUACAAAAUUAUCCGGUCAUGGUGGCACGUGCCUAUGAUCCCACCUACUCGGGAGGCUAAGGCAAGAGAAUUGCUUGAACCCGUGAGGCAGAGGUUGCAGUGAACUGAGAUUGCACCACUGCACUCCAGCCUGGGUGACUGAGGGAGACUCUGUCUCAAAAUAAAUAAAUAAAUAAAAGGUUAAUUAUAUUUCUUGUUAUGAGACAAAUGAACUAUUUCACACUUUCCAUUGAGGAUAGCAUGUAACGCAGGUUUUUCUCUUAUAGGUUGUGGGACUGGAAAAUAUCUUAAAGUGAACAGCCAGGUACAUACCGUGGGCUGUGACUACUGUGGGCCACUGGUAGAGAUUGCCCGGAAUAGAGGAUGUGAAGCCAUGGUAUGUGACAACCUUAAUCUCCCCUUUAGGGAUGAGGGCUUCGAUGCCAUCAUCUCCAUAGGAGUCAUACAUCAUUUUUCUACAAAACAAAGAAGAAUCAGAGCAAUAAAAGAAAUGGCCAGGGUCUUAGUUCCUGGAGGCCAACUGAUGAUUUACGUUUGGGCAAUGGAACAAAAGAACCGUCGCUUUGAGAAGCAAGACGUGCUUGUUCCAUGGAACAGGGCCCUGUGUUCCCAGCUCUUCUCAGAGUCCAGCCAGUCUGGGAGGAAGAGGCAGUGUGGAUACCCAGAAAGAGGCCAUCCCUACCAUCCUCCUUGCUCUGAGUGUAGCUGUUCUGUUUGUUUUAAAGAGCAGUGUGGUUCAAAACGGUCCCACAGCGUGGACUAUGAACCUGCUAUGGCAAGAACCUGUUUUGCAAAUAUUUCUAAGGAAGGCGAGGAAGAAUAUGGAUUUUACAGCACAUUAGGAAAAUCGUUUCGUUCCUGGUUUUUCUCCAGAUCUUUGGAUGAAUCGACUCUGAGGAAGCAAAUUGAAAGAGUAAGACCCUUGAAAAACACAGAAGUUUGGGCCAAUAGCACUGUAACAGUCCAGCCUUCCAGACAUUCUAGUCUAGACUUUGAUCACCAAGAGCCAUUUUCAACAAAAGAGCAAAGCUUAGAUGAGGAAGUGUUUGUGGAAUCUUCUUCUGGAACACACUUGGAAUGGCUGAGAGCACCAGGCACUCUGAAACAUUUAAAUGGAGACCAUCAAGGGGAAAUGAGGAGAAAUGGAGGGGGAAAUUUUCUGGAUAGCACUAAUACCGGUGUGAAUUGUGUGGAUGCAGGUAACUUAGAAGAUGAUAAUCCUUCUGCUAGUAAAAUAUUGAGAAGGAUUUCUGCAGUCGAUUCCACAGAUUUCAACUCAGAUGAUACAAUGUCUGUCGAAGAUCCACAGACUGAUGUUUUGGACUACACAGCCUUUAUGCGCUACUACCAUGUGUUUCGAGAAGGGGAGCUCUGCAGUCUGCUCAAGGAGAAUGUGUCAGAGCUCCGUAUCCUGAGUUCCGGGAAUGAUCAUGGUAACUGGUGUAUCAUUGCAGAGAAAAAGGGAAGUUGUGAUUGACUGGAUCCUUUUAGACAACUCCUCCAAAAGAUGAACCACAUUCUUUUCUCUUGGUUUGAUAUGGUUACCUGAAUUUGCAUUCAGUGUUAUUUGUUAAUCCAUUUACGCUUUGGUCUGCAGAGACUAUUCAUUAUUUGGUUGUUUUUGUUUUCAUGUUUGAAUAAGCACAGAUUCUGGCAUUGAAAGCACUUGACAAAGGGUAUUUGUGCUUAAAUGUUAAUAUAAAAGAUCUGAAGAAGCAACAGAAAGUGCCCUUCAGUACAGCUCAGACUUUUUUUUAACCCCAGAGAGAUAAAAUACAUGUAUAGUGUUUUUCAGUAUUACACAUCGAUUUAAAAAGAUUAUGCUGUUAAAUAAUCUUUUAAAACGGUAUUUUUAUAAAGUGAGGGGAUAAUUUCUGGUUCUCAGGUUAUAAAUGAGAGCAGUGUGCAAGAUAAUAGGUAAAUUUGAUCCAUUGCACAGAUAUACUUUGAACCAUGUGAUGAGUUAUCUUGUUGCCAAGGCCUUGCUUCUACUUAAAGUUUUCAGAAAACUGAGUGACAGUGGAGAGAACCAAGAAGUGUUACAAGGACUUUACUAAAUUAUAAGCAAACUUGCUUCAUAAUAAGUUGACAUGUGAUAAUAAGGUUUUCAAUGUAGCCCAGGAGGUUUUUAAAGGCACUGUUAGGCUGAGCAUGGUGGCUCAUGCCUGUAAUCCCAGCACUUUGGGAGACCAAGGCAGAAGGAUCACUUGAACCCAGGAGUUCAAGAAUAGCCUGGGCAACAUAGCAAGACCCCAUCUCUAUAAAAAUUAGCAAGAUGUGGUGGUGCAUGCCUGUCAUCCAAGCUACUCAAGAGACUGAGGCAGGAGGAUCACGUGAGCCCAGGAAUUCAAGGCUGCAGUGAACUAUGAUUGCAUCACUGCACUGCAGCCUGGGCAACAUAGCAAGACUCUGUCUCAAAAUAAUAAUAAUAAUAAUAAUAAUAAUAAUAAUAAAGGCAUUGUUAGCUUGUAAGGAGUGGAGUAUGUAGGUAGUAGGAGUUAUAUGCAAGUAUCCAAGUGGUAUUCUUCCAAUCUUAUUAGAAGCAUGAAUAUUCAAGAUUGAUAUUACUAUUGCUUAUUAGCAAGAUUUUUAUCAAUCAUGCUUAUUAGAAGGAUGAAUAUCCAAGACCAAGAUUGACUAAUCAUGAGUCUGCAUCAAGAACUAGGUAUUUCUUCUGAGUUGAUGGACUCUUUAGGAAAGGAGAAUCUAAGUGAAGCACUGAUUUUAGCUCUGAGAACAAACAAAUUAAGGUACAGCAUAGUUAGCCUUGGUAGAGGUAUGACUUGGAUUUGCUGUAUCCUUUAAAAUAGUAUCUGGGCAUUUAUUUUAUUGAAGGUGACUACAUUUUAUUAGUUAUAUUAAGAAUUUAGGUAGAAACAACUUCUACUGAUUAAAGGUUGAAUUUCUGUCACUUUGUAGAGAAACGAAUAGACUGGACACUGUGUGGUCACUGUUUAGAUUUGCCCAUGGGUCUGUUUAAAUCUAUGUCAUGGAUCCUGAGACACAAAUAUAAUUAAGACAAGUCUAGAGACAGGAGAAGCAGAAACAAGUUGACCCAGGAGUACAGUCUCAAGUAGUUCAUUAAUGAGAAAAUUGACAUCUGACAAGAGUCUUUUUACUUUAUGCUGGAUGAAAAUCCAAAUCUUGUUUUAUUUUUUCCACUAAAAGUGACUAAAAUAAUAACGAAUUUCAUUUGUUCUUGGGUUCUUUUUUCCUUUAAUGAUUGUGCUAUAACUUAAAAUAAUGAUGUUACUUUUGAACAAACUUAAAGAAAUAUUUUUAAAGCGUAUCUGAAAACGAUUGAUGUUUAUAACUCUCUUUUGGCUUCAAAAUAAGGUUGCGUUAUCACCCUUUUGGCAGAUGAGGUUGUCUGGUGAAAAUGAUGCAUAUGAUUGUACUGUUCAGUGUACAUCCUGCAGUAGUGGAUGACUGAAAACAUAUAUAAGUGGAGUAUAAAUUAAAAAUUAAUUUGGUUUCUUCUAUUUCUUUUUUUUUUUUUUUUUGAGACAGAGUCUCCCUCUGUCGCCCAGGCUGGAGUGCACUGGCGCGAUCUCGGCUCACUGCAAGCUCCCCCUCCCGGGUUCACGCCAUUCUCCUGCCUCAGCCUCCCGAGUAGCUGGGACUACAGGCACCCACCACGACGCCCGGCUGUUUUUUUGUAUUUUUAGUAGAGACGGGGGUUUCACCAUGUUAGCCAGGAUGGUCUCGAUCUCCUGACGUCGUGAUCCACCCGCCUCGGCCCCCCAAAGUGCUGGGAUUACAGGCGUGAGCCACCGCCCCCGGCCUGUUUCUUUUAUUUCUUAAUUCAGGACACUAAACCAUGACUGCAAGGGAUUUUCUUGGUAAAAAGAAAAGAUUCUCAGAGUCAAAAUGUUCUUACAACUCGGGCUUGACGGCCUUUGAAUUAUGAAUGGAUUGUUCCUCUCUCUGAAGCCUAUUGUCACAUGGGUUUUUAAUCCUGGCCUUGCUGCUAGAAAUCUGUGCUUGAAGUCCUCUCUUUCUGCUGGUAGCCUACCACUUAAAAGUCAAGACUUGGUGGAACUCAGUUUACCAGACUCUUUAGCCUUUGAGCUAAACUGUCUGAGCAACCUCUUAGAUGUACACACACCACUUUGUAUGAAAGGGUUCUCUAGAACGGUUCUUUGGAGAGAAAUAUUUUCAUGUAAGUUUGACAGGGGUGUAAAGAAAGCAUGGCGACUAAUAAGUCUUCUACUCUUCAUCUAAUGAACAUAAGAAUCUAUGCAUCCAGAUAUUAUUUUGUAUACAAAUAUUUAACUUGGUGAUUGAUAAUCUCUCUUUGGGGUAGUUACAUGGAAAGCUCUUUUAAAUUUAACUUCUGCCUUUGGAUUUUUUUUAAAAAGCCAUUGAAGAGCAAAACUAAUGUAAAUGUCUUGAUCAUUUAAAAAGCUUGCUUGUCCUCGAAAGGAAACACAAGUCAUCAGUGAGUAUAAACACAGACAGUUGAUUUGUGAAUGCUGUCGGCCUCAACUUGCUUGAUGAUAGAUUCUACUGACCUAGCUGGAGUAAUUUGAUCACUUACUUCCUUAUUAAUACUAGAUCACACAGUGUCUUUCUUAUUCCUUCUUCUUUACUUACUGGCAUCAGCACAGAGUCCCACUAUCUGAAAUAGAAGGGAGAGUUUGGGGGUUUAUUGGAGGAGUCUUAAAAACUUGGUUGGCAGCUGGGUGCGAUGACUCACACCUGUACCCCUAGCACUUCAGGAGGCUGAGGUGGGUGGAUGAACUGAGGUCAGGAGUUUGAGACCAGCCUGACCAACAUGGUGAAACCCCGUCUUUAUUAAAUACAAAAAAUUUGCCAGGUUGGUGGCGCAUGCCUGUAAUCCCAGCUACUUGGGAGGCUGAGGCAGGAGAAUCGCUUGAACCUGGGAGGCGGAGGUUGCAGUGAGCCAAGAUUGUGCCAUUGCACUCCAACCUGGGCAACAAGAGUGAAACUCCAUCUCAAACAAAACAAAACUUUUUUGGCUUCCUGAUGCCUCACUGUCUAUUUGAGGAAUUCCACGGAAUCUUCAAAGGAUUUGGGGGAAAGCGCAUUAACAUGGACAAAGGAUGGAAUCAAAAUAAUGUUAUAGUGAGAAUCAUUCAAGCACCUAUUUAAAUUUUUUCCAAUUGCCAGUAUACUGAUGAUAUGACACCAGCAUAUCAAAGUAACUAACAAACUAGCUACACAAACGUCUUGGAGUUUGGUUUGGUUCUCUUUUCUCAUCACACAUCUCCGUGCAGAAUAGUGCUAAUUCUUAUUUCUCGUUUGCCUUUCUAUUUCCUUCCAAAUUCUACAUGCCAGUAAUUCCUCUGUCUUUUAAGUGACCAUCAAUUCAAUAGGCAAAAAUUUGGAGUAAUCCAGAGAAAAAACCAUCCAAAUAUAAACCAGCUAGGAACAUGAAUGCCCCUGAAUAUUAAUGGCCGAAAAAAAAGCACUGGUGGAUUUUAAAUUAAAUUAAUACAUAUAUACGAGUUUAGAGGAGAACAGAAGUUCUAACUCAGUAGUUGAACUUGGUGGGGGAGGGCACAGGUUAAAUAUGAGCUGUGAGCCCCCAGUUUUGGAGGAAGGAGGAAAUGGGAACCAACCACCAGCCAAGCAGCUGCAGUAU